rnacentral:lncRNA from 1 species
GGAAAUAAUUUUCAUUUGCUCCAAAAAUGUCAUUAUCCUUCCUUUGUCUGAUUUUUUUCACACUUUCAUCCUACUGCAGUCUUCCUCUUGAUAGCUAACAGUCUGUUGACUUUUGUUAUGAAUGUACUGUACUAAUUAUCAUCUUAAUAGUUUACAGCUUCUCUCACGCGGUUUGGAAAGCUGUGUAAGCAAUGAAUAGCAGGUGGCAGCAGGAAUGUAUUAUUGCAAAUGUACUGAACGUGAUGAACACAAAGACAGAAUGAAUCAAAUAGCUCAACAAAUGAUCAAAGCAACUACAGGUAAAAGAGCUACUUAGAAUAUUCAAUAAGCUUAUUUUUAUUUUUUUGUUUGUUUGUUUUUUGGUACCGGGGAUCUAACUUGGGACGUUGUGCUUGCGACGGUGCCACUGAGCUAAAUCUCCAGCAAGUUGAUGUUUUUGACAGUACUCAGGGCAGCUUUGUUCAUCGUGAGUGGUCACGAAAGGCAUCUCUGUGAAGGAGAUACUGAAGGUAAGUUCUGAAUACAAGAACAGACAGCACAACGGCUAAGAACGUUGAGUCAGAGAGAGUAGCCAUGUCUCCACUUUGCAACAUAGUUACUAUGUGCAUUUGCCAAGUUAUAUAAACCUUAGUCUCAGCUUCUUC